AGCAGCCGCGGUAAUUCCAGCUCCAAUAGCGUAUAUUAAAGUUGUUGCAGUUAAAAAGCUCGUAGUUGAAUUUCGGGAUCAAUAUGUCGGUCGUGCCUUCGGUACGUACUGGUAUCAUUGGUCUCUCCUUUCUGACGAACCAUGAUGUCAUUAAUUUGGUGUUAUGGGGAGUUAGGACUGUUACUUUGAAAAAUUAGAGUGUUUAAAGCAGGCUUUAGCUUGAAUACAUUAGCAUGGAAUAAUGAAAUAGGACGUUCGAACCUAUUUUGUUGGUUUCUAGGAUCAACGUAAUGAUUAAUAGGGAUAGUUGGGGGCAUUAGUAUUCAAUUGUCAGAGGUGAAAUUCUUGGAUUUUAUUGAAGACUAACUACUGCGAAAGCAUUUGCCAAGGAUGUUUUCAUUAAUCAAGAACGAAAGUUAGGGGAUCGAAGACGAUCAGAUACCGUCGUAGUCUUAACCAUAAACUAUGCCGACUAGGGAUCGGAUGAUGUUAAUUUUUAAUGACUCAUUCGGCGCCUUAC
rnacentral:rRNA from 1 species